GAUGAACGCUGGCGGCGUGCCUAAUACAUGCAAGUCGAGCGAACGGACGCGAAGCUUGCUUCUCUGAUGUUAGCGGCGGACGGGUGAGUAACACGUGGAUAACCUACCUAUAAGACUGGGAUAACUUCGGGAAACCGGAGCUAAUACCGGAUAAUUUUUUGAACCGCAUGGUUCAAAAGUGAAAGACGGUCUUGCUGUCACUUAUAGAUGGAUCCGCGCUGCAUUAGCUAGUUGGUAAGGUAACGGCUUACCAAGGCAACGAUGCAUAGCCGACCUGAGAGGGUGAUCGGCCACACUGGAACUGAGACACGGUCCAGACUCCUACGGGAGGCAGCAGUAGGGAAUCUUCCGCAAUGGGCGAAAGCCUGACGGAGCAACGCCGCGUGAGUGAUGAAGGUCUUCGGAUCGUAAAACUCUGUUAUUAGGGAAGAACAUAUGUGUAAGUAACUGUGCACAUCUUGACGGUACCUAAUCAGAAAGCCACGGCUAACUACGUG
rnacentral:rRNA from 1 species